UGGGGAAUCUUGGACAAUGGGGGAAACCCUGAUCCAGCGACGCCGCGUGGAUGAAGAAGGCCUUAGGGUUGUAAAGCGCUUUCACUGGUGAAGAUGAUGACGGUAGCCAGAGAAGAAGCCCCGGCUAACUCCGUGCCAGCAGCCGCGGUAAUACGGAGGGGGCAAGCGUUGUUCGGAAUUACUGGGCGUAAAGGGCGCGUAGGCGGACGAUCAAGUUAGGGGUGAAAGGCCCGGGCUCAACCUGGGAACUGCCUCUAAAACUGCUAGUCUAGAGUCCGGAAGAGGAUGGCGGAAUUCCUAGUGUAGAGGUGAAAUUCGUAGAUAUUAGGAAGAACACCGGUGGCGAAGGCGGCCAUCUGGUCCGGUACUGACGCUGAGGCGCGAAAGCGUGGGGAGCAAACAGGAUUAGAUACCCGUGUAGUCC
rnacentral:rRNA from 1 species